AUUGAACGCUGGCGGCAGGCCUAACACAUGCAAGUCGAACGAGUGGCGGACGGGUGAGUAAUGUCUGGGAAACUGCCUGAUGGAGGGGGAUAACUACUGGAAAAGGUAGCUAAUACCGCAUACCAUCAGAUGUGCCCAGAUGGGAGUAGCUUGUUGGUGGGGUAACGGCUCACCAAGGCGACGAUCCCUAGCUGGUCUGAGAGGAUGAACAGCCACACGUGAACUUGUGCACGGUCCCGACUCCUACGGGAGGCAGCAGUGGGGAAUAUUGCACCAUGGGCGCAAUCCUGAUGCAGCCCAUCCGCGUUGAUGAAUAAGGCCUUCGGGGUGUAAAGUACUUUCAGCGGGGAGGCGUUACCCGCAGAAGAAGCCCCCGCUAACUCCGUGCCAGCCGCCGCGGUAAUUCC
rnacentral:rRNA from 1 species